UACGUAGGUCCCGAGCGUUGUCCGGGUUUAUUGGGCGUAAAGCGAGCGCAGGUGGUUUAAUAAGUCUGAUGUAAAAGGCAGUGGCUCAACCAUUGUGUGCAUUGGAAACUGUUAGACUUGAGUGCAGUAGAGGAGAGUGGAAUUCCAUGUGUAGCGGUGAAAUGCGUAGAUAUAUGGAGGAACACCGGUGGCGAAAGCGGCUCUCUGGACUGUAACUGACACUGAGGCUCGAAAGCGUGGGGAGCAAACAGG
rnacentral:rRNA from 1 species